rnacentral:sRNA from 1 species
GCAAAGUACACCUUGCAGAGGGCAGAAGUACGUUCUGUGCCCGCAAAGUGCAAGAAGUAUCUGGACCUUCUGAGAACUGAAAGACGAGUGUGAUUUUUCUGUGUAUUACAGCUGUGAGCUGUCCCUGGUCUAGCAGCCCUUUAGAAAUAAAAGCUAUAAGGAUCUUCUGGUGGUAGUGGCCUCUCCCACACCCCCUCUGUAAUUGCUGUUAUUACAUAAGCGAUACAUCCACUUGCCAUAGAAAACUUAAAAUACUGCUUGAUCAAAAAGAAUAAAAUCCACCAGAAAAUUCUACAACUGAGAAAUUGCCAUUAUUUUGCAUAUAUGUGAUUCAAUUUUGUGUGUGUGUGUAUCUGUACUUCUUCAACAUAAGAAUGGCAUUUGGUAACCAACUUAAAACUCCUGGCAUUUUAAAAAGCAUUUGACUUUUUAAAGCUCACAAUCAGGUACAGACUCAAAAAUGUAGUUGCAUUCAUAAUUUUAGUUAGUUUCUCUCAUAGGCUGGUUCCUUUCUUUCCUUUUAUUUGAAGGUUGUUGGUUUUUCUAUAGUUUCUAGCAAAAGUUCAUAUUGCUGCAAUUCUUCAAGGGCUGAGAAAGUUGAUUUCUUUAGUGGCAAAAAUAGAACUUUGAUGUUCCGUGUUACUUAGGAGCUCCACCUUGACCCAGCCUCACAACAAAAAGUUUGUGUAUGACCAGGCUUCCUGUAAGUGGAACUCCAACAACCAAGAAGGUUAGAAACAUGUUCACGUGCUUCUGCUUUUACUCGAUGCACUGGUACGUUUUCCUUUUCUUGCAGACAGUUAGAAAAUGUCGAGUAGUGCAAAGAAAAAGUAAAUUUACCCAUAAUCCCAGAGUGUGUUCUCCUAGCUGUCCCCUUAGACUUUUAGAAAGACCACACUCUUCACACAUUUUCUGAGUGUGAGCUUUAUUAAAUCUUUAGCAUUAAGAUACUAUUCUGCCUCACUGAGUUUAAAACUAUUUUUCUGAAAUCAUUGUAAUGAUAAGGAAAUGUUGCGAUCAAAUAAGAUUUAGACACACUUUUUUUUCCAAUAGGUAAUUUGUGAAAGAAGCAAAAAUAAAUCUGUGGAACUGAAGGAGCGGAUCAGAGAGUAUUUAAAGGGUCACUACUACGUGCCCCUCCUGAGAGCAGAAGACACUUCUUCUCCCGUCAUCGGGGAGCUGUGGUCCCCAGACCAGACGGCUGAGGCCUCUCACGUCAGCCGCUAUGGAGGCAGCCCCAGAGACCCGGUGCUGACCCUGAGAGCCUUCGCAGGGCCCCUGAGUCCCGCCAAGGCAGAAGAUUUUCGCAGACUCUGGAAAACUCCACCUCGAGAGAAAGCAGGCUUCCUUCACCACGUCAAGAAAUCGGACCCGGAAAGAGGCUUUGAGAGAGUGGGAAGGGAGCUAGCUCAUGAGCUUGGGUAUCCCUGGGUUGAAUACUGGGAAUUUCUGGGCUGUUUUGUUGAUCUGUCUUCCCAGGAAGGCCUGCAAAGACUAGAAGAAUAUCUUACACAGCAGGAAAUAGGCAAAAAAGCUCAACAAGAAACAGGAGAACAGAAAGCCUCUUGCCGAGAUAAAGCCACCAUGUCUGUAGAGAUGGGGUUUCACCAUAUUGGCCAGGCUGGUCUCGAACUCCUGACCUCGUGAUCCACCUGCCUCGGCCUCCCAGAGUGCUGGGAAGGCAGCAAUUCCAUUUCCGUGAGGGCGUUUCUAGAUGAA